rnacentral:rRNA from 1 species
AUUGAACGCUGGCGGCAGGCCUAACACAUGCAAGUCGAGCGGUAGAGAGGAGCUUGCUUCUCUUGAGAGCGGCGGACGGGUGAGUAAUGCCUAGGAAUCUGCCUGGUAGUGGGGGAUAACGUUCGGAAACGGACGCUAAUACCGCAUACGUCCUACGGGAGAAAGUGGGGGAUCUUCGGACCUCACGCUAUCAGAUGAGCCUAGGUCGGAUUAGCUAGUUGGUGAGGUAAAGGCUCACCAAGGCGACGAUCCGUAACUGGUCUGAGAGGAUGAUCAGUCACACUGGAACCGAGACACGGUCCAGACUCCUACGGGAGGCAGCAGUGGGGAAUAUUGGACAAUGGGCGCAAGCCUGAUCCAGCCAUGCCGCGUGUGUGAAGAAGGUCUUCGGAUUGUAAAGCACUUUAAGUUGGGAGGAAGGUCAGUAGCUUAAUACGUUGCUGAUUUGACGUUACCGACAGAGUAAGCACCGGCUAACUCUGUGCCAGCAGCCGCCGUAACAC